AUACAAUAGAAUACCAAAUCCAGGAAGAAGAAGAACAUAUUAUGAUAUACUGUCGGAGAAACAAACACCGUGUCGUCCACCCAAAGCAAGAACGAAU
rnacentral:ribozyme from 1 species